rnacentral:tRNA from 1 species
GCACACGUGGCGGAAUUGGUAGACGCGCUGCCUUGAGGGGGCAGUGUUCUUAAGGACGUGGAGGUUCGAAUCCUCUCGUGUGCACAA